rnacentral:misc_RNA from 1 species
AACGCACAUUGCGCCCUCUGGUAUUCCGGAGGGCAUGCCCGACCGAGCGUCACACGCAUCGCCCGGCCCCUGGGAAAGACGCCUGUAGGCGUCGCCCCAUGCCGGUACUGGGGCCUCGCGGCCUGGGGGGAUCCGAACGCGUGAUCCCCCCUCUGCGGCCCUGAAAUGCAAGUGGUGGCGGUCCCCGGACCCCCUCCCGGCGUAGUAAGCAAUUCUCGCCCGGUGGGAAACCGGGGGCGUCGCAGCCCCCAGCGAAAAAACCUUUUUUUCUUUUUUCGUUGGCCUCGGGUCGGGCAAGACUACCCGCUGAACUUAA